rnacentral:rRNA from 1 species
AGCAGUAGCCGCGGUAAUACGUAGGUCCCGAGCGUUGUCCGGAUUUAUUGGGCGUAAAGCGAGCGCAGGCGGUUAGAUAAGUCUGAAGUUAAAGGCUGUGGCUUAACCAUAGUACGCUUUGGAAACUGUUUAACUUGAGUGCAAGAGGGGAGAGUGGAAUUCCAUGUGUAGCGGUGAAAUGCGUAGAUAUAUGGAGGAACACCGGUGGCGAAGGCGACUCUCUGGUCUGUAACUGACGCUGAGGAGCGAAAGCGUGGGGAGCGAACAGGAUUAGAUACCCGGGUAGUCCCUGUCUCUUAUACA